rnacentral:rRNA from 1 species
GGGAACUGUGGGCGAGGAGGCGCGGAAAUAGAGGGGGGGCGAGAGGGAAACGUGGGUACUGGGCGUAAAGGGCGCGUAGGGGGGUAUAUAAGAGUGAUGUGAAAUCCCUGUGCUUAACCUAGGAACUGUAUCGAUGACUGUGUGGCUGGAGUACUGUAGAGGGUAGUGGAAUUUACGGUGUAGCGGUUAAAUGCGUAGGGAUCGGAAGGAACACCAGUGGCGAAGGCGGCUACCUGGACAGAUACUGACGCUGAGGCGCGAGAGCGUGGGGAGCAAACAGGAUUAGAUACCCCUGUAGUC